rnacentral:rRNA from 1 species
UACGAAGGGGGCUAGCGUUGUUCGGAGUUACUGGGCGUAAAGGGCGCGUAGGCGGCGCACCAAGUCAGGCGUGAAAGCCCUGGGCUCAACCCGGGAAUUGCGCUUGAGACUGGUGUGCUUGAGUACGGGAGAGGAUAGUGGAAUUCCCGGUGUAGCGGUGAAAUGCGUAGAGAUCGGGAGGAACAUCCGUGGCGAAGGCGGCCAUCUGGAUCAACACUGACGCUGAGGCACGAAAGCGUGGGGAGCAAACAGG